rnacentral:rRNA from 1 species
AAAUGUGUCCAAACCUCCUUCACUAAGCCUACUCUCAUCAGAUCUCAGAAACUAAGCAAGGCUGGGCCUGGUUAGUACUCGGAUAAGAGACUACUGGGAAUAUCAGGUGCCACAGUGG